GCUUCGCUUAACAGUAUUUGUAGCAAAUUUCUAAAAUUAAUAACUAUUGCUAAUGAAUAGAAUACUAAAACAUGUAAAUACUGCUUGUUCCGGUUUUCUUUCAACGAAAUUUCGGGCUGCGAGCAGGCUAUAAAUAUUCUUGCAUUAUUCACCUCCACUUCUACGAAUAAUUCUUAAAGGAAGAUUUGUCUCGAGAUUAUCAUCUCUUGGAUCAUGGCUGAAUAAAUUGCGACAAUUGGUC